rnacentral:snoRNA from 1 species
GGCAAUAAAAAUAUAUUUUUUUUAAAAAACUACAUACAGGUGCUAAAAAUAAAGCCUCUUUUGCAACCCAGAACUCAUUGCUCAGUAUGAGUUUUGAUACAUAUAUAUAUGUAUGUA